rnacentral:lncRNA from 1 species
CCCUAACCCUGUUUUCUCGUUUGUUUUUGUAUACAAAAGAAAAUAUUGAUAUUUUAGUUAUUAAUCUUGGAUUGUGAGACUAUUUUAUACGUUUAUACUUGUUUAUUGUAUUCAUUUUUAAACAGCCAUAUUAUUUCCAGCAAAAGUUAUGGAACGUUUACAGAUAGUAAUAUUUAUAAUAAAACAAAUUACUUUCUGUUUGCUUCCUAUAUUUUAUAAAUUUUUAAAGCUUCCUCCCAGACUCAUUUGAGUAUAAGGUGGUUAAUUUUUCCGAAAUAAAUGGAAAGGAUGGCGCAUUUAAUGCAGUGAUUUGAGCUAAUAUUUAACAACACAAGGAGAUGCUCAAAAAAAAUAUGAAAAUGUAAAUUUUAGAGUUCUAAGAACUUAUCCAAAUGAUUAUAUGAAGCUUGUUUUCAAGAAAGACUAUCGAUGCCAUCACAAUACUCGGGCUAAUUUGCCUUCAUCAAAGA